rnacentral:tRNA from 1 species
AAUGAGAGACCUAAAAGGAUUAUUUUGAUAGAAUAAUAUUUGUAAAUUAAUUUUUAUUCUUAUUA